rnacentral:rRNA from 1 species
AUUGAACGCUGGCGGCAGGCCUAACACAUGCAAGUCGAGCGGAUGAGGGGAGCUUGCUCCUGGAUUCAGCGGCGGACGGGUGAGUAAUGCCUAGGAAUCUGCCUGGUAGUGGGGGAUAACGUCCGGAAACGGGCGCUAAUACCGCAUACGUCCUGAGGGAGAAAGUGGGGGAUCUUCGGACCUCACGCUAACAGAUGAGCCUAGGUCGGAUUAGCUAGUUGGUGGGGUAAAGGCCUACCAAGGCGACGAUCCGUAACUGGUCUGAGAGGAUGAUCAGUCACACUGGAACUGAGACACGGUCCAGACUCCUACGGGAGGCAGCAGUGGGGAAUAUUGGACAAUGGGCGAAAGCCUGAUCCAGCCAUGCCGCGUGUGUGAAGAAGGUCUUCGGAUUGUAAAGCACUUUAAGUUGGGAGGAAGGGCAGUAAGUUAAUACCUUGCUGUUUUGACGUUACCAACAGAAUAAGCACCGGCUAACUUCGUG